rnacentral:rRNA from 1 species
GUAGUCCACGCCGUAAACGUUGGGCACUAGGUGUGGGGCUCUUUCCACGAGUUCCGUGCCGCAGCUAACGCAUUAAGUGCCCCGCCUGGGGAGUACGGCCGCAAGGCUAAAACUCAAAGGAAUUGACGGGGGCCCGCACAAGCGGCGGAGCAUGCUGAUUAAUUCGAUGCAACGCGAAGAACCUUACCAAGGCUUGACAUGGGGCGAAAACCGGCAGAGAUGUCGGGUCCGCAAGGGCGCCUCACAGGUGGUGCAUGGUUGUCGUCAGCUCGUGUCGUGAGAUGUUGGGUUAAGUCCCGCAACGAGCGCAACCCUCGUUCUAUGUUGCCAGCACGUAAUGGUGGGGACUCAUGGAAGACUGCCGGGGUCAACUCGGA